ACAGCAGCAGCCGCGGUAAUACGAAGGGUGCAAGCGUUACUCGGUAUUACUGGGCGUAAAGCGUGCGUAGGUGGUGGUUUAAGUCCGUUGUGAAAGCCCUGGGCUCAACCUGGGAAUUGCAGUGGAUACUGGGUCACUAGAGUGUGGUAGAGGAUAGUGGAAUUUCCGGUGUAGCAGUGAAAUGCGUAGAGAUCGGAAGGAACAUCUGUGGCGAAGGCGACUAUCUGGGCCAACACUGACACUGAGGCACGAAAGCGUGGGGAGCAAACAGGAUUAGAUACCCCAGUAGUCCCUGUCUCUUAUAC
rnacentral:rRNA from 1 species